UGCAGAACACUGAAUUCUAUCAACAGAGUCUACACGUGUACCAGCAGGAGGCGCUCAAAGCAGAGGCCACCGUUAAGCCUCGUCACGUGAGUCCCGUCUGUCCUGAGAUGCAGUCGCAGGUGUUGAGCUGCUACAGACUGAACAGACACCAGACGCUGCACUGCUCACACCUGGCCAAAGACUACAUCAACUGCAUCAACACCUCCAAGAAGAACUUGCUGUUGAAUCACGGAUGAAGAUAAUGGUUGGUGCUGAAGAAGAGGAGCAUUGUUAGAGGAUGUUUGUGUGUGUGUGUGUGUUUGUCUGCGGUAUCAGGAUUGUGUUGGUUUGUUGAGCUGAUCUUCAUUUACUGUGAGCAAAUAAAGUCUCUUCAGCGUCUGUUUCUCUCUUCAGUCUC